AUGACUCACUUAUACCACUCUUUUGAUUAUGCCCACAUAAAUGAACAUCGUACUUCACAUAUACUUACUCUGCCAUGUUCAUUGCUUUUGUGGUGGUGACCUGAAGGAGAGUUGGACAGAAGAAGGACAUGGACCACAGCCUAUCUGGAUCCUAAUGUGGCUCACCAUACCCUGGACAGCUAAUACCAGCAAUGAAGCAAAAAAGUUGAGCAGAUGACAGAGAAGAUAGCAAGACCUUCUUCUGUUGGCUUAGAGCCUGACUCCAAAUAAUUCCUGUGCUGAAAAAUAUCAGGCACUGGUACAUAACCCUCUCUUGAUAUUAGGGAAGAAGGACAGAGGACUUUGUCCUCAGCUGUUUACAAACUCCAACCAAUUUUCUGAUAUAGGUCCCAUAAGAGAAGUUUCUAAAAUUUGGAAUAGCACCAUUCCCAUGACUAGAUACCCUCUUUGCUUUCAUAACCAUUACAAUCUACUUUCCUAUUCUACUAUCUUUUCACUUAUAAUAUAUUGGUUGGCAUAGUCUACUUAUUGAUCAGAAGACUCUGCUCUCCAGAAAGAAAAUUAUAUAGAGGCAAGAUCUAUAUGAGAAAACGCUGGCUUGACCUGGCAUUCAGCCUACCUAGCACACGGAAUAUACAAUUUUAAAUUAGAAGCAUGGCAUACAAUGCUCCUGAGUAUUCACAGAAGUCAGAAUACUGAAUUCUGAGAUAGCAUGAGAAGCCUGGAUCUAGCCUGCUGAUAUGUCUACAAUCUCCACAUCUCCUUUUAUGUGCUUCUUCAUAGAGACACAUGUGGUAUUAGUGCUCACUGUCCAAUCUGAGAUAAUGUGCUAACUUAUCACAAUUGAUAGGUUCCCUAUAAAUAAAAUAGUUGCUUAUAGAAGUAAAACAGACACAGUUAUGUAAAA
rnacentral:lncRNA from 1 species